rnacentral:rRNA from 1 species
AGAACGAACGCUGGCGGCGUGUUUAAGACAUGCAAGUCGCACGGGAUCACUUGAGUAGUAAUACAAGAGUGGUCUAGUGGCGCACGGGUGAGUAACAUGUGAAUUACAUGCCCUUCAGUGGGGAAUAGCCCAGGGAAACUUGGAUUAAUACCCCAUGGUAUCGCAAGAUUAAAGGUGGCCGCAAGGCUGCCGCUGAAGGAUUGGUUCGCACCCUAUCAGCUUGUUGGCGAGGUAACGGCUCACCAAGGCUACGACGGGUACCUGGUCUGAGAGGACGAUCAGGCACACUGGAACUGAGACACGGUCCAGACACCUACGGGUGGCAGCAGUCGAGAAUAAUUCACAAUGGGGGCAACCCUGAUGGUGCAACGCCGCGUGGAGGAUGACGGUCUUCGGAUUGUAAACUCCUGUCAUCCGGAGUAAGACCUGGAGUUAAUAGCUCACAGGUUGAUAGUACCGGAAGAGGAAGGACGGCUAACUUCGUGCCGAGCAGA